GCUGAAUUUUGUGUCUUAAUUAUUUAAUCAAACAUACAGUAUUUGAGAGCAAAACUAUUAAAUUGUUGUAAAAAAAAUUAAUUCGCAUUUAAAAAAUGUUAUCUUAAAAUUAUUUUAGUUACAAAAUACAGUAAUUGUUAACCAAAUUUUUUGCAAUGUGAAUUUUUCUUUGAGUAAUUUCAUCGCGUGUCCCUACAUUUUGCUCUCUGCUACGCUGUUUUUGUUUGCGGAUCAAAAAUCUUUGCUUUUGAGUCAAAAAGUUUUGGAUGCAAGUUACACGCGUCUCAGUGGGCGGGAUCAACCUAGUUGAAUGAAAGACCCGUUUCUAUUGGCCACUACUGUCACCAUUUGGCUACGCCCACCACGGAAGUCUGCCACCGAGGAGAGCGAUGCUGUGCUAUGGAGAGCGGCAUUGUUUGUAAGGAAUGAUUGGGAGGAUUGUAAUCAGAGAGGCCAAGAAAGAUGUCAAUAUCACUUUGUAAUGCAAGAUCUGUUGUGGAGAGGAUGCAUUGUGUGGCAUCCUCAUCUCUGCUGUUGACUUCAAACAAUUCAAUUUUGUUCACAUUUAUUUGUAUAGCGCUUUGAACAGUUUUGAAGUCCUCGUGAGGGCCGAUGUCAACUUUCCUUAUGUGUAGGGUCAUCUGAUAGAGACAGGAUCCAGAC